AUCCCAUGAUGAGGACACUUACGAAUGAAUUCUUUGAAUCUUUCCCACGUCUCGUAUAAGGAUUUGUCAUCCAAUUGUUGGAAAGUAGUUAUCUAAUUUCACAACUU
rfam:Gossypium hirsutum cultivar TM-1 chromosome 3, whole genome shotgun sequence